UACGGGGGGAGCAAGCGUUGUUCGGAUUUACUGGGCGUAAAGGGCGCGUAGGCGGCCUGUGCAAGUCAGUUGUGAAAUCUCCGAGCUUAACUCGGAACGGUCAACUGAUACUGCUCGGCUAGAGUGCGGAAGGGGCAACUGGAAUUCUUGGUGUAGCGGUGAAAUGCGUAGAUAUCAAGAGGAACACCUGCGGCGAAGGCGGGUUGCUGGGCCGACACUGACGCUGAAGCGCGAAAGCUAGGGGAGCGAACGGG
rnacentral:rRNA from 1 species